CACUCCUGCGGGAGGCAGCAGUGGGGAAUAUUGGACAAUGGGCGCAAGCCUGAUCCAGCCAUGCCGCGUGAGUGAUGAAGGCCCUAGGGUUGUAAAGCUCUUUCACCGGUGAAGAUAAUGACGGUAACCGGAGAAGAAGCCCCGGCUAACUUCGUGCCAGCAGCCGCGGUAAUACGAAGGGGGCUAGCGUUGUUCGGAUUUACUGGGCGUAAAGCGCACGUAGGCGGACUAUUAAGUCAGGGGUGAAAUCCCGGGGCUCAACCCCGGAACUGCCUUUGAUACUGGUAGUCUUGAGUUCGAGAGAGGUGAGUGGAAUUCCGAGUGUAGAGGUGAAAUUCGUAGAUAUUCGGAGGAACACCAGUGGCGAAGGCGGCUCACUGGCUCGAUACUGACGCUGAGGUGCGAAAGCGUGGGGAGAAAACAGGAUUAGAAACCCGAGUAGUCCCAUGA
rnacentral:rRNA from 1 species